GAGUGAACGCUGGCGGUAGGCCUAAAAAAUGAAAGUCGAACGGCAGCACAGUAAGAGCUUGCUCUUAUGGGUGGCGAGUGGCGGACGGGUGAGGAAUACAUCGGAAUCUACCUUUUCGUGGGGGAUAACGUAGGGAAACUUACGCUAAUACCGCAUACGACCUUCGGGUGAAAGCAGGGGACCUUCGGGCCUUGCGCGGAUAGAUGAGCCGAUGUCGGAUUAGCUAGUUGGCGGGGUAAAGGCCCACCAAGGCGACGAUCCGUAGCUGGUCUGAGAAGAUGAUCAGCCACACUGGAACUGAGACACGGUCCAGACUCCUACGGGAGGCAGCAGUGGGGAAUAUUGGACAAUGNGCGCAAGCCUGAUCCAGCCAUACCGCGUGNGUGAAGAAGGCCUUCGGGUUGUAAAGCCCUUUUGUUGGGAAAGAAAAGCAGUCGGCUAAUACCCGGUUGUUCUGACGGUAC
rnacentral:rRNA from 1 species